rnacentral:rRNA from 1 species
CCUACGGGAGGCAGCAGUGGGGAAUAUUGCGCAAUGGACGAAAGUCUGACGCAGCGACGCCGCGUGAGGGAUGAAGGUUUUCGGAUCGUAAACCUCUGUCAGGAGGGAAGAAAGCGCAGGGCGCCAAGCAGCCAUGCGUGGACGGUACCACCAAAGGAAGCGCCGGCUAACUCCGUGCCAGCAGCCGCGGUAAUCCGGAGGGCGCGAGCGUUAAUCGGAAUUACGGGGCGUAAAGCGCGCGUAGGCUGUUGGGUAAGUUGGGGGUGAACUCCCACGGCUCAACCGUGGAACCGCCCUUGAUACUUCGCGCCUUGACUCCGGGAGAGGGUGGCGUCCUUCCAGGUG